CCUACGGGGGGCUGCAGUGGGGAAUAUUGGACAAUGGGCGCAAGCCUGAUCCAGCAAUGCCGCGUGUGUGAAGAAGGCCUGCGGGUUGUAAAGCACUUUUGUCCGGAAAGAAAUCAUCCGAGUUAAUACCUUGGAUGGAUGACGGUACCGGAAGAAUAAGCACCGGCUAACUUCGUGCCAGCAGCCGCGGUAAUACGAAGGGUGCAAGCGUUAAUCGGACUUACUGGGCGUAAAGGGUGCGUAGGCGGUCUGUUAAGUCGGAUGUGAAAGCCCCG
rnacentral:rRNA from 1 species